rnacentral:rRNA from 1 species
UGGGGAAUUUUGGACAAUGGGCGAAAGCCUGAUCCAGCAAUGCCGCGUGUGUGAAGAAGGCCUUCGGGUUGUAAAGCACUUUUGUCCGGAAAGAAAUCCUUGGCUCUAAUACAGUCGGGGGAUGACGGUACCGGAAGAAUAAGCACCGGCUAACUACGUGCCAGCAGCCGCGGUAAUACGUAGGGUGCAAGCGUUAAUCGGAAUUACUGGGCGUAAAGCGUGCGCAGGCGGUUUGCUAAGACCGAUGUGAAAUCCCCGGGCUCAACCUGGGAACUGCAUUGGUGACUGGCAGGCUAGAGUAUGGCAGAGGGGGGUAGAAUUCCACGUGUAGCAGUGAAAUGCGUAGAGAUGUGGAGGAAUACCGAUGGCGAAGGCAGCCCCCUGGGCCAAUACUGACGCUCAUGCACGAAAGCGUGGGGAGCAAAACAGGAUUAGAUACCCUGGUAGUCCACGCCCUAAACGAUGUCAACUAGUUGUUGGGGAUUCAUUUCCUUAGUAACGUAGCUAACGCGUGAAGUUGACCGCCUGGGGAGUACGGUCGCAAGAUUAAAACUCAAAUGAAUUGACGGGGUC